GCAGUGGUGGUGCAGGGGUAGAAUUCUUACCUGCUGUGUGGGAGACCGGGUUCGAUUCCUGGCCAGUGCA
rnacentral:tRNA from 1 species